rnacentral:sRNA from 1 species
AAGGACGAGAAUAUUCCACUGAUGCAAU